rnacentral:rRNA from 1 species
AGCGAACGUUUGCGGCGGGCUUAACACAUGCAAGUCGAACGAGGAUCCCUUCGGGGAGGAAAGUGGCGCACGGGUGCGUAACACGUGGAUAACCAACCCAUUGGUUUGGGACAACACCGGGAAACUGGUGCUAAUACCAGAUGUGUCGCAGCUGUCUUCAGGCGGUUGCGAGAAAGGCCCGCAAGGGUCGCCAACGGACGGGUCCGCGUCCCAUCAGCUAGUUGGUGAGGUAAUGGCUCACCAAGGCAAAGACGGGUAGCUGGUCUGAGAGGAUGAUCAGCCACACUGGAACUGAGACACGGUCCAGACUCCUACGGGAGGCAGCAGUGGGGAAUAUUGCGCAAUGGGCGAAAGCCUGACGCAGCCACGCCGCGUGAGCGAUGAAGGUCUUCGGAUCGUAAAGCUCUGUGGGGGGAGAAGAAGAAAGCCGGUGAAGAGCCGGCCUGACGGUAUCCCCUUAGCAAGCACCGGCUAACUCCGUGCCAGCAGCCGCGGUAAAGUG